rnacentral:lncRNA from 1 species
AGAACAAGUACGAGAGAACGAGUGAGAACAAGUGUGAAACGAAUGUGAGAACAAAGUGUGAGAGGUGUGAGUGAGAACAAGUGAGAACAAGUGUGAGUGAACAAGUGUGAGAACAAAGUGUGAGAGGCAGAACGAGAACCAGUGUGAGUGAACAAGUGUGAGUGUGAGAACAAAGUGAGGUGUGAAAGAACGAGUGAGAACAAAUGUGAGUGAACGAGUGUGAGAACAAAGUGUGAGGUAUGCGUGUAAGAACGAGUGAGAACAAGUGAACGAGUGUGAGAACAAAGUGUGAGGUAAGAACAAGUGUGAGUGAACAAGUGUGAGUGAACGAGUGUGAGAACAAAGUGUGAGAGGUUUGAGUGUAAGAACGAGAACAAGUGUGAGUGAACGAGUGUGAGAAAUGAGGUGUGUGAAAGAACAAGUGAGAACAAGUGUGAGUGAACGACAGAACAAAGUGUGAGAGGUGUGAGUGUAAGAACGAGAACAAGUGAGAACGUGUGAGGUGUGAGUGUAAUAACGAGAACAAGUGUGAGUGAACGAGUGUGAGAACAAAGUGUGAAGUGUGAGCGUAAGAACGAGAACAAGUGUGAACGAGUGUGAGAACAAAGUGUGAGAGAUGUGAGUGUAAUAACGAGAACGUGAGUGAACGAGUGUGAGAACAAAGUGUGAGGAUGUGAGUGUAAUGAGAACAAGUGUGAGUGAAGUGUGAACAAAGUGUGAGGUGUAAGUGUAAGAACGAGAACAAGCGUGAGUGAACGACAACAGUGUGAGGUGUGAGUGUAAGAACGAGAACAAGUGUGAACAAGUGAGUGUGAGAACAAAGUGAGGUGUGAGUGAAACAAGUGAGAACAAGUGUGAGUGAACGAGUGUGAGAACAGAUGUGAGUGUGAGAACGUGUGUGUAAGAACGAGAACAAGUGUGUGAACCAGUGUGAGAACAGUGAGGUGAGUGUGAGAACGACUGAGCGAGUGAGAACAGUGUGAGGUGUGUGUAAGAGAACAAGUGAGUGAACGAGUGUGCAAAGUGUGAG